UACAGAGGGUGCGAGCGUUAAUCGGAAUUACUGGGCGUAAAGCGCACGUAGUCGGCUUUGCAAGUCGGUUGUGAAAAUCCCCCGGGCUCAACCUGGGAACUGCAUCCGAGACUGCAUUGCUAGAGUAUGGGAGAGGAAAGCGGAAUUUCUGGUGUAGCAGUGAAAUGCGUAGAUAUCAGAAGGAACAUCAGUGGCGAAAGGCGGCUU
rnacentral:rRNA from 1 species